CAUAGGUUUGGUCCCAGCCUUCCUGUUAACUCUCAACAGACUUACACAUGCAAGCAUCCACGCCCCGGUGAGUAACGCCCUCCAAAUCAAUAAGACUAAGAGGAGCAGGUAUCAAGCACACAUCUUGUAGCUUACAACGCCUCGCUUAACCACACCCCUACGGGAGACAGCAGUGACAAAAAUUAAGCCAUAAACGAAAGUUUGACUAAGCCAUGUUGACCAGGGUUGGUAAAUCUCGUGCCAGCCACCGCGGUCAUACGAUUAACCCAAGCUAACAGGAAUACGGCGUAAAACGUGUUAAAGCACUACACCAAAUAGAGUUAAAUUCUAAUUAAACUGUAAAAAGCCAUAAUUACAACAAAAAUAGAUGACGAAAGUAACCCUACUGCAGCUGAUACACUAUAGCUAAGACCCAAACUGGGAUUAGAUACCCCACUAUGCUUAGCCCUAAACACAAAUAAUUACAGAAACAAAAUUAUUCGCCAGAGUACUACCGGCAACAGCCCGAAACUCAAAGGACUUGGCGGUGCUUUAUACCCUUCUAGAGGAGCCUGUUCUAUAAUCGAUAA
rnacentral:rRNA from 1 species